rnacentral:sRNA from 1 species
AGAUGUGAGGGUGAUCUGGCUGCGACAUCUGUCACCCCAUUUAUCACCAGGGUUGAUUCGGCUGAUCUGGCUGGCUAGGCGGGUGUCCUCUUCCUCCCUCACCGCUCCAUGUGCGUCCCUCACGAAGCUGUGCGCUCAGUGGAGGAAGAUAGCUGCUAUCAUGUUAUGAUGGGUACUUUUUCCCCAGGUGAACCAUGUGCAUGAUUUUGUCUGGAAGAAGGAAUAGACUGGUGCACCAUUGCCUGC